UCUUCCCUUAAAAGGAAAAAAAUGUGAAUAUUGGGCAGGCUGGUUCUCCAUCCACUUUCCCUUCCCCUCUGUGUAUUUCCUGCAAGCCCUCUGCUGAAAUGUGCUGUUUGAAUCUGGAGACAGUCAGAAGACAUAGAGUCUGUGUAUGGGUGCAGAAUACAAAUGUUUUGAACAGUUCAUUUGUUUUACAAGGUGUCUGUCUAACAUAGAGGGUGAGCCUUCCAGUAUGUGUCUGCUCAGAAAUAAGAGUGAUUGAGUUCAUUUGGAUUUACUCCCAGGCUACAUGAGCUACAAGACAAGACUGUGGAAGAGGAAGACAUGUUGGAGGCUUAAGACCGCUUCACUUUAACGAAAUUGGACAUCACCAGCGCAUGGAGGAUUGACUCAAACAAACUGAUUGGAGAAGGUAUACCUAAGAAUAAGUCAGUACCAGCCAUACAGGGCUUUGCUAAGCAAAACUAUCACUUUGAAUUACACCUGGAAAUCUAUUUGCAUCCACCAUGCUCAUUGUGAUGAAUGCCACACAAGAAGCAGACGGCUGCAUUAUGGAAAAUUUGCAGUUUCCAGAUAGGCUUCAAAUGGGGCUCCUUGUAGAAUAGAGUGCAUUGUAGAAGAACAACUGAGGUAUUAAGAGCACGAGUCCUGGUAGUCAGUUCUUCCCACUCAAGGUAGAGCCUUGAGGAAUCCACCACAAUGUGGUGAUGGACAAGGAGCUUGGGAAGUGAGUCUGCUGAGCAGAAUGGGGGUUGCACACCAACAGAAUUAUCAAUUGUCCUUGGCAUUCAAUUUCAUAUAUAGGGAAAACACAUUUAGCCACCAUCAAAUUCUUAUAGAUUGUCACAUGCACUAUUUCUUCCUAUAAGACCCUAGUUCUAGUCCCGCCUUAAUCACAAAGUCAGCUGGGUAGGUGGUUUGGGUCAGUCAUUCUAUGUCUCUUAGCCCUAGGAAGAAGGUAAUGACAAAAACGUGCAAAAUUCUGCCAAGAAAACUGCAUGGACAUGCCCAUAUCAUCACUAGAAGUUGAGAAUGACUUGAAGGCAUAAAAAGAAAAAAAACCCCCACCUCUCCUGCCCUAACCUGCUCUGCAACUUUGAUGUCAAAGCUGCAAACCACCUGUCACCAAUUGGGCAGAGGAACAGCCCAUCCUUGUUCAGCCAGGUUUUGUUGACAAAUGCCAGGCCUGUUAUCUUCUCCAGUAUUAAGACACAGAGGAUCAGGGCCUUAUUAAAGAUAGAGUUGGGAUUUGGUAGAACCACCAUAAGUCCAAAGUCUUGAAUGAUCUGGCAUU